UUUCAAUUUAUUCCUUUUUCCUAUUUACUUGUGUUUGUGAUAUUCAAAACUAGAUUAUCAAGGAGCUUGGUUUACAGUUUUUAGAUAAAUUAUUUGUUGUUGCUAUUGUUUUCUAUAUUAAAAUGUCUUAACACAAAUUUGUGUGGGGCAGAUUUGAGUAAUUUGCCUACUAGUCUUUUGGUGAUUGCUAUAACUUGUGAAUUUAG
rnacentral:misc_RNA from 1 species